AACAGAAAUCCUGCCUCUUCUCGCAGCUCUGCUACAAGCUGCCUAAUUAGGAUUUAUGGGUGGCCAUGAUAAAAAUGUCUGCAUGACCUGAAGUGGUUUAAGUUCAAGCCUUGCACCCAAUGUCAUUGAAGAGCCAUUCACCGUGUGUGGAGCUCAGUGGUUGUUUCCUGAAGUACAUCCUCACUGUGACUGUAGACUCUGCUGUAUUGCCUUUGGAUCCCAGGACGAAUGGCACCAUCCCAGUUGAAUGCCACUCUCCCCUCUUCAGCGAGAAUAUGAAAUGACAAUGCUAAGUAUGACAACAAUGACAGCUUUGUUGCCUCAUCAUCUCUGACUAGUGCCAAAUAGCCCAUGUCUAAGCCAUCACCACCCACCAGUAACACCCUGGCCAGUCUGUGAUCAUUUCUGACCUUCUGGCCUCCUGUCUCACCUGCCCACCAUCAGCUUCCAGCCCUCUUGCCUCACACACCACCCUCCACAGAG